rnacentral:rRNA from 1 species
AGCAAUACAGGCCAUACUGCUCAGUAACACGUAGUUAACCUACCCUAAGGACGGAGAUAAUCCCGCGAAAGUGGGCGUAAUAUCCGAUAGACGAUAAUUGCUGGAAGGCAUUUUCGUCGAAAGCAGCAAUGUACCUUUGGAUGGGACUGCGUCGGAUUAGCUAGUUGUUGAGGUAAUUGCUCAACAAGGCUAUAAUCCGUACGGGUCGUGAGAGCGAUAGCCCGGAGAUGGCUUCUGAGACAUGAAACCAGGCCCUACGGGGCGCAGCAGGCGCGAAAACUUCGCAAUGCAUGAAAGUGUGACGAGGGAAUCCUGAGUGGCAUCGCAAAUGCGGUGUCUUUUGUGUACUGUAAAUAGGUAUAUGAAUAAGAGGUGGGUAAGACGGUUGCCAGCCGCCGCGGUAAUAACCGCGCCUCAAGUGGUAGUCACGUUUAUUGGGCCUAAAGCGUCCGUAGCCGGCUUGAUAAGUUUCUGGUGAAAUCCACUAGUAGACUAGUGGAACUGCUGGAAAUACUAUCAGGCUUGAGACCGGGAGAGGUUGGGAGUAUUCCACGGGUAAGAGUAAAAUCUUUUAAUCCGUGGAGGACUACCUGUGGCGAAGGCGCCCAUCUGGAACGGGUCUGACGGUGAGGGACGAGAGCGUGGGGAGCGACCGGGAUUAGAUACCCCGUUAGUCCACGCUGUAAACGAUGCCCUCUUGGUGUCGCACAAUCUUCGAGAUUCUGCGGUGCCGAAGCGAAGGUGUUAAGAGGGCCGCCUGGGGAGUACGACCGCAAGGUUGAAACUUAAGGGAAUUGGCGGGGGAGCACUACCAGGGGUGGAGGCUGCGGUUUAAUUGGAUUCAACGCCGGG